rnacentral:piRNA from 1 species
UAUGAAGCAUCUCUUAGAGCAAUUUUAUC